rnacentral:hammerhead_ribozyme from 1 species
GCACUACUGAAGAGUCUCAAACUAGGACGAAACAGCUGUUCAGUAC